GAGGACGAGGGAGAAGUGUGGCAGGGGGUACUUGUGUGAAAGAAAAGGGGGAUCUGGGAGAAAGGGGAAAAGUAAGAGUUUCGGGUGGGUUUUUUUCAAUGUUGUACAAACCCCACUGUCUGGAACUAAAUCCAAAUUAGCCACGUGAAAACAGAUAUAAGUGUGCCCACAAAGGAGUGUGCAUCAGUUUAAAACAGUGUAACUAUUUCAUUAAAAAUAUUUUAAUACGGUGCAACUUUUGUGUGCAAGUGUAGUAGGCAGUACAAGAACUGCCUGUGUGUGAGAGAGAACCGUGCUAGAAGUAUAAAAGGGGAAGAAGGAGAGGUGAGUCUAUGCGUGGGAGGCCUUGUCUACGUACACAAGUAAAAGUUUAAAUUGGCAAAUAUCAACUUAAGAUCCCUUGGAAGAGGGAAGGAUGGAGCGCAGCAUAACUAGGGGCCUGUUUCCUGAAGAGGACGCUGUGGUACGUGGAGAGAAAUGUUCCUGGAAAAGAAGUUAUCAUGGUGAGACAUCACUGGAAGAGGAUGCACUGGGCAGCAGAGUCAAUCUCUAGGAUAUCAAGGAGAUGCCAUAGUGCUGGACCAAUCGGAACUAUGGGGAUACCGCCAGAGCCCAGGGUAUCCGAAAGCGCGCCAGGGUCCAUGAAGAUAUGGCAGCAUGUCAGUGCCCUCCACGAAAUGAAGCAGACCCUGGCAUAAAAGAUCCCGGAGGACACAGAGUGGUGUAACCGCAUCUAGAACCAGCUCAUGCAGCCGUGCGAUAGCAUGUGUGCCAUCAUGAGGGAAAUGAUGGCACACUCAGCUGCUGUUGCUGCUCCUGCUUACCACCCUCCUGCCCUCCCGGCUAUGCCCAUUCCUCCUCCCCCUGCCUCUCCAAGCGAUGCCCAUGCCCCCUUCCUAAGUGAUGCUCAUGCUCCCUCCCCCUGCGCCAUCCCUGCUCCGCCUCCCCUCUUACCCACCCCCAUGUAGUUCCAGGACCCCAAGUCCGAUGAAGUACCCUCACCCAAGAUGGCACAUCCAGCCAGCAAUGACACCACUCUGAGCCCCCCUCCCAAUCCAGGUUAGGCGCCCUCCUCUCCCUCCAGGUUAGGAACUCCUCUCCCCUCUGCUCCCUCCUUUUUUU